rnacentral:rRNA from 1 species
UACGGAGGGUGCAAGCGUUGCUCGGAAUUAUUGGGCGUAAAGGGUAGGUAGGUGGUCUCAUUUGUCUGGGGUGAAAUCCUUGAGCUUAACUCAAGAAGUGCCUCAGAAACGGUGAGACUAGAGUUCUGGAGAGGGUCGUGGAAUUCCCGGUGUAGCGGUGAAAUGCGUAGAGAUCGGGAGGAACACCUGCGGUGUAGACGGCUUUCUGGACCAUUGCUGACGCUGAGACACGAAAGCGUGGGUAGCAAACAGG